AUUGAACGCUGGCGGCAUGCUUUACACAUGCAAGUCGGACGGCAGCACAGAGAAGCUUGCUUCUUGGGUGGCGAGUGGCGAACGGGUGAGUAACAUAUCGGAACGUACCGAGCAGUGGGGGAUAACUAAUCGAAAGAAUAGCUAAUACCGCAUAUUUUCUGAGGAAGAAAGCAGGGGACCUUUGGGCCUUGCGCUGUUUGAGCGGCCGAUAUCUGAUUAGCUAGUUGGUGGGGUAAAGGCCUACCAAGGCGACGAUCAGUAGCGGGUCUGAGAGGAUGAUCCGCCACACUGGGACUGAGACACGGCCCAGACUCCUACGGGAGGCAGCAGUGGGGAAUUUUGGACAAUGGGCGCAAGCCUGAUCCAGCCAUGCCGCGUGUCUGAAGAAGGCCUUCGGGUUGUAAAGGACUUUUGUCAGGGAAGAAAAGGGCGGGGUUAAUACCCCUGUCUGAUGACGGUACCUGAAGAAUAAGCACCGGCUAACUACGUG
rnacentral:rRNA from 1 species